CUCACACCUAGAUAUUGCGUAUACAAUUCCAUUUAAAUCAUAAUUAUAUUUUUUUAAAGGGAAAAAGCUUUCACCAUCGUUUAUCAACGGUGGUUGGUUUGUAGUUAGGUGACUCCUGUCUGACUGAAGUCGAAGAUCAGCGCAAUGGAGGGAGACAAUGAUGCUUGCUCGAUUUGCACUUCGAUCUGAGCUGAGAGCUUCUGUUUCUGUUCGAUACUCUGGUUCUUGCUGUUUUAUUUCUCUGCAUCCGCAGCCUCAGCGAUGCUGAAAGGACGAUCCGAGAAGGUCUCAUAAAUGACUGGAGCAGAGAUGAAAUCAAAGCCGUAUAUGAUUCCCCUGUUCUUGACCUCCUCUUCCAUGGAGCAUGUGCAUAACUUCACGGAAGUACAGCAAUGUACUCUUCUCUCCAUAAAGAUUGGUGGGUGCAGUGAGCAAAUCAUUGAAAGCUUCCCAAAAUCAUUAUUGAUACAUGGCCUAUCCGGUUAGUGAUGCUUGAGUGCUAAUGGUAUGGUUUGCUCUGCAUUUUCCUGGUGGUAACAUGCGGGACUCAUUCCUAGAUGGCUCGUCUUUAGUAGCCCCUACUCGAACAGGUGGGAGUGUAGUUUGUGGUGCAGGUUCUUCCUCAGCUUUCGUUGGAUCCAGGGUUGGGAUUUGGUUGGUAGGGACUAACUGAGACUGAGGUUGGAUCUCAUUAAGAAGCCUAGCAGAGUUGAUAAAUAGGAGGAGAGUGGCGGAUAUGAGGAAGAGAAUGAUGGUUAGUCUGAGCUUGGAUCUCUAUGUUCUUCAUUUUCUUCGGAUGCAACAUCAUAAUAUCAUCUCCCACACCCAAAACCACAUAACCCUCCUUUCCCUUCUCCUUCAAAAACCACCAGAUCACUCGAUCAUCUCUGCGAAUCGAAGGCAAACCCAUAAAGUCGCUUCCUUCGUGAGUAGCCUCGGCAGCUAUACUCUUCUCAUCGGUUUCUUCGUCGCCAAAAGCGUUAGUAUAUUACGUUUCCCCUAAUUAGUAGAUUUCUUAAUCUAAUUUUCUUAAAUGAAAAGUAGUAAACAUCUCCUUGCUCUUUCACUGUUAGAAUGUGCCUUAGUCAAAGAUGUUGCAAGGUGGUCAAGUGAUUACGUAAUAUAUUUUGGUAUGACUUGCAUGUGGAAAGCAAGUGACUAUGUUUAGACAUCCGUAAUAUUACGUGGGUUGUGUUUUGGGAAGCCUUUGUUUUUAGGAAACCUUUA